rnacentral:rRNA from 1 species
CCGUUUAGGGGUAAACCUGAGAAACCCGAAAGGUCGAAGGGAGAAAUUCAUUCGCGUCUCGUCGCAGGAGGCGGGCGGUCGAGUGACGGGGAGCGCGUUCGCGCGUUUCCCGCGCCUUCCGCUCGUCGAACCGGCGGCGAACGCGUGCACUUUUCUCCUGGUAGGACGUCGCGAUCCGUCGGGCGUCGGUCUACGGUUCGCGGUGGAGCCCGCUCGUACUUCGCGUACGGGCGGACCCGCGUGACCCGGCCGACUCGCUCGACGGUAUACGAAAGGUUUAAGGCCGCUCACCACGUAGCGUUCGACUCGCGGCAAGCGCGCAGGAUGCGUCGGCGAUCGGACCCGGUGCCGAUUCUGACCUCCGGCGACUGUUGGCCGCGAAGUUCUCGAACAGACCUUCUAGACCGAUCGGCGACGCUAUAGCUUUGGGUACUUUCAGGACCCGUCUUGAAACACGGACCAAGGAGUCUAGCAUGUGCGCGAGUCAUUGGGAAUCACUAAACCUAAAGGCGCAAUGAAAGUGAAAGUCUUCCUCGCGGGGACUUAGGGAAGACGGGCGACUCACCCUUAAAAGUGACCGCUC